UACGGAGGGUGCAAGCGUUGUUCGGAAUUAUUGGGCGUAAAGCGCGUGUAGGCGGCUAUCUAAGUCUGGUGUGAAAGCCCGGGGCUUAACCCCGGAAGUGCACUGGAUACUGGAUAGCUAGAGGACGGGAGAGGAGAGCGGAAUUCAUGGUGUAGGGGUGAAAUCCGUAGAUAUCAUGAGGAACAUCCGUGGCGAAGGCGGCUCUCUGGCCCGUAACUGACGCUGAGACGCGAAAGCGUGGGGAGCAAACAGG
rnacentral:rRNA from 2 species